rnacentral:rRNA from 1 species
GAAAAGAACUUUGAUAAAGAGAGUUAAAAAGUGCGUGAAACCGUUAGUGGGGAAACGGAUGCAGUUAGCAAUGCUUCGGCGAGAUUCAGGCGGUCACCUGGCUGGACGGGCAGUGUGUGGAUCCGAAUGGACUGUCGCUGCUUGGCUUGGUCUUGUGCUCGUCGCACUUCUCGUCGGAGCGCGUCAACAGCUGCUUGACUUGAGCGAUACGGUGCUCGGGAAGGUAGGCGUGUGUCUUCGGACUUGCGUUGUUAUAGCCCGUGGCAUUCCCAGUUCGAGUUUGGCAGAGGCGAACGGUGCAUGCUCUCUAGGGGGCUGGCGUCCUUCUCUUGAUCGAUUGUCGAGCAUGGCGGACUGCUUGCAGUGCGUCUGAACUGCUGUUGGUCAUUCGGGAGGAUCGCGCACACUAUGCACCUAGGUUGUUGGCGGCCAUAUGGCUUCAUCUGACCCGUCUUGAAACACGGACCAAGGAGUCUAACAUGUGCGCAAGUCUUGGGGUGACCGAAACCCAAAGGCGCAAUGAAAGUAAAGGCUGCCUGGCAGCCGAGGUGAGAUCUUCGUUCCGCGUGUCCGAAGCGCAUCAUCGACCGACCUAUUCUACUCCUAGAAAGGUUAGAGCUAAGAGCGCAUCUGUUGG